rnacentral:rRNA from 1 species
ACGAACGCUGGCGGCGUGCUUAACACAUGCAAGUCGAACGGUGAAGCGCCUUCCUUUUUGGUGGGUGUGGAUGAGUGGCGAACGGGUGAGUAACACGUGAGUAACCUGCCCCCUUCUUCUGGAUAACCGCAUGAAAGUGUGGCUAAUACGGGAUAUUCUGGGUCUGUCGCAUGAUGGGUCUGGGAAAGAUAUUGUUUCGGUGGGGGAUGGGCUCGCGGCCUAUCAGCUUGUUGGUGGGGUGAUGGCCUACCAAGGCGGUGACGGGUAGCCGGCCUGAGAGGGUGGACGGUCACACUGGGACUGAGACACGGCCCAGACUCCUACGGGAGGCAGCAGUGGGGAAUAUUGCACAAUGGGCGCAAGCCUGAUGCAGCGACGCCGCGUGAGGGAUGGAGGCCUUCGGGUUGUGAACCUCUUUCGCCAGUGAAGCAGGCCUGCAUCGUGUGUGGGUGGGUUGACGGUAGCUGGAUAAGAAGCGCCGGCUAACUACGUG